ensembl:snoRNA
UAUAGGGUGUGUUAGAAAGAAUAACCUUUUCUGUAAACCUACAUCGUUGGAAACGCCUCAUAGAUUAACUGUGUGGUUUCCUUUACUCAUAGAACUACGUGUUAGAUCUGUGGGAAAGAACUACAAGACAGAG